AGAGUUUGAUCCUGGCUCAGGAUGAACGCUGGCGGCGUGCUUAACACAUGCAAGUCGAACGAACCUUCGGGUUAGUGGCGGACGGGUGAGUAACGCGUGAGAAUCUGCCCUCAGGAGGGGGAUAACAGCUGGAAACGGCUGCUAAUACCCCAUAUGCCGCGAGGUGAAAUGAAUUUCGCCUGAGGAUGAGCUCGCGUCUGAUUAGCUAGUUGGUGUAGGUAAUGGCUCACCAAGGCAUCGAUCAGUAGCUGGUCUGAGAGGAUGAUCAGCCACACUGGGACUGAGACACGGCCCAGACUCCUACGGGAGGCAGCAGUGGGGAAUUUUCCGCAAUGGGCGAAAGCCUGACGGAGCAACGCCGCGUGAGGGAUGAAGGCCUCUGGGCUGUAAACCUCUUUUAUCAAGGAAGAAGAUCUGACGGUACUUGAUGAAUAAGCCACGGCUAAUUCCGUGCCAGCAGCCGCGGUAAUACGGGAGUGGCAAGCGUUAUCCGGAAUUAUUGGGCGUAAAGCGUCCGCAGGCGGCCCUUCAAGUCUGCUGUUAAAAAGUGGAGCUUAACUCCAUCAUGGCAGUGGAAACUGAGGGGCUUGAGUGUGGUAGGGGCAGAGGGAAUUCCCGGUGUAGCGGUGAAAUGCGUAGAUAUCGGGAAGAACACCAGUGGCGAAGGCGCUCUGCUGGGCCAUCACUGACGCUCAUGGACGAAAGCCAGGGGAGCGAAAGGGAUUAGAUACCCCUGUAGUCCUGGCCGUAAACGAUGAACACUAGGUGUCGGGGGAAUCGACCCCCUCGGUGUCGUAGCCAACGCGUUAAGUGUUCCGCCUGGGGAGUACGCACGCAAGUGUGAAACUCAAAGGAAUUGACGGGGGCCCGCACAAGCGGUGGAGUAUGUGGUUUAAUUCGAUGCAACACGAAGAACCUUACCAGGGUUUGAAAUCAUUUCAAAACUCCUUGAAAGAGGAGCCUCCUUCGGGAUGGAAUGACAGGUGGUGCAUGGCUGUCGUCAGCUCGUGUUGUGAAAUGUCGAGUUAAGUCUCGUAACGAGCGCAACCCAUGUCUCUUGUUGCUCACUGAGUGCUUAAGAGAGACUGCCGACCAACAUCGGAGGAAGGUGUGGAUGAUGUCAAGUCAGCAUGCCCCUUACAUCCUGGGCUACACACGUACUACAAUGGUAAGGACAAUGAGCUGCGAUCCUGCGAAGGCUAGCCAAUCUCAAAAACCUUAUCUCAGUUCGGAUUGCACUCUGCAACUCGAGUGCAUGAAGGUGGAAUCGCUAGUAAUCGCUGGUCAGCCAUACAGCGGUGAAUCCGUUCCCGGGCCUUGUACACACCGCCCGUCACACCAUGGGAGCUGGUCAUACCCGAAACCGUUUGCUUAACCAUUCGGAGAGCGACGUCUAAGGUAGGGCUAGUGACUGGGGUGAAGUCGUAACAAGGUAACC
rnacentral:rRNA from 1 species